UACGUAGGGGGCUAGCGUUGUCCGGAAUCAUUGGGCGUAAAGAGCGAGUAGGCGGCCCGGUAAGUCCGCUGUGAAAGUCGGGGGCUCAACCCUCGAAUGCCGGUGGAUACUGUCGGGCUAGAGUGCGGAAGAGGCGAGUGGAAUUCCUGGUGUAGCGGUGAAAUGCGCAGAUAUCAGGAGGAACACCGAUUGCGAAGGCAGCUCGCUGGGACGUUACUGACGCUGAGACACGAAGGCCAGGGGAGCAAACGGG
rnacentral:rRNA from 1 species